rnacentral:rRNA from 1 species
UACGUAGGGUGCAAGCGUUAAUCGGAAUUACUGGGCGUAAAGCGUGCGCAGGCGGUGAUGUAAGACAGUUGUGAAAUCCCGGGGCUCAACCUGGGAACUGCAUCUGUGACUGCAUCGCUGGAGUACGGUAGAGGGGGAUGGAAUUCCGCGUGUAGCAGUGAAAUGCGUAGAUAUGCGGAGGAACACCGAUGGCGAAGGCAAUCCCCUGGACCUGUACUGACGCUCAUGCACGAAAGCGUGGGGAGCAAACAGG